rnacentral:rRNA from 1 species
AGAGUUUGAUCCUGGCUCAGAAUCAACGCUGGCGGCGUGCCUAACACAUGCAAGUCGAACGAGAAAGUGGGAGCAAUCCCAUGAGUACAGUGGCGAACGGGUGAGUAACACGUGACUAACCUACCUUCCAGUGGGGGAUAACCUCGGGAAACCGGGGCUAAGACCGCAUAAUCUCGCGAGGUGAAAUUCCUUGUGAGCAAAGGGGUAAGACGCUGGUAGAGGGGGUCGCGUCCGAUUAGCUAGUUGGCGGGGUAACGGCCCACCAAGGCGAUGAUCGGUAGCCGGCCUGAGAGGGCGCACGGCCACACUGGAACUGAAACACGGUCCAGACUCCUACGGGAGGCAGCAGUGGGGAAUUUUGCACAAUGGGGGAAACCCUGAUGCAGCAACGCCGCGUGGAGGAUGAAGUCCCUUGGGACGUAAACUCCUUUCGACCGGGACGAUAAUGACGGUACCGGUGGAAGAAGCCCCGGCUAACUCCGUGCCAGCAGCCGCGGUA